CCGCCACACUGGGACUGAGACACGGCCCAGACUCCUACGGGAGGCAGCAGUGGGGAAUAUUGGACAAUGGGCGAAAGCCUGAUCCAGCCAUGCCGCGUGUGUGAAGAAGGCCUUUUGGUUGUAAAGCACUUUAAGCGAGGAGGAGGCUACUUAGAUUAAUACUCUAGGAUAGUGGACGUUACUCGCAGAAUAAGCACCGGCUAACUCUGUGCCAGCAGCCGCGGUAAUACAGAAGGGUUGCGAGCGUUAAUCGGAUUUACUGGGCGUAAAGCGUGGCGUAAGCCGGCUUUUUAAGUCCGGAUGGGAAAUCCCUGAGCUUAACUUAAGGAAUUGCAUUCGAUACUGGGAAGCUAGAGUAUGGGAAAAGG
rnacentral:rRNA from 1 species